rnacentral:lncRNA from 1 species
GUGAGCCACUGCGCCUGGCCCUGGAGUUGUUACUUUGAUGGAAGCAGCUUCCAGAACUGAUUAGACCACAAUUUACUUUCUACAUUCCACUUGCCUCUCUCUUGUCUUUUUCUACCUGGCCUCGGUUAAUUCCUUCUCUGCCAAUUGUCAUCACAUACACUGAAAGAAUCAUAGUGUGGUGGCUAAAAGUAUAACUCUAGAGCUCACUUCUCUUUCUUGUUGUAAAACUUUUAAACCAGAGAUAAUGCAACAAUUCUCUUUGACUCCCUUCUCCUACAAAUCCACUAGCUGCCCCAGAGAUUAAGACUAUCCCUUUGGUAUAUAUUUUUUUCUAAGUCUUUUCCUAUGCGUUUUUCCAUUGUGUUUAAAAAAUUCCUAACUUAUUCUGGACACUUCUUUCUUGGUCAUUCUCACA